rnacentral:rRNA from 1 species
GAUACCCCCGGGAAAACAGGUUUUUAACCCGGUUAAACGGAAAAACCCCCUUGUUUUUUUUUAAAAAGGUGUUUUUUCUUUCCUUUUUGGAGAAGGCCCCGGGGGUUUUUUAGUUAGUUGGUGGAGAAAAGGCCUCACAAGGCCAUGUAUCCUUCCCCACCUGAGGAGGUUAUUGGCCCACUUGGGGACUGAGACCCGGCCCCAGAUUCCUACGGGAGGCAGCAGUAGGAAUUUUCCACAAUGGACGCAAGUCUGAUGGAGCAACGCCGCGUGAAUGAAGAAGGGUUUCGGCUCGUAAAGCUCUGUUGUUAAAGAAGAACGUGGGUAAGAGUAACUGUUUACCCAGUGACGGUAUUUAACCAGAAAGCCACGGCUAACUACGUGCCAGCAGCCGCGGUAAUACGUAGGUGGCAAGCGUUAUCCGGAUUUAUUGGGCGUAAAGCGAGCGCAGGCGGUCUUUUAAGUCUAAUGUGAAAGCCUUCGGCUCAACCGAAGAAGUGCAUUGGAAACUGGGAGACUUGAGUGCAGAAGAGGACAGUGGAACUCCAUGUGUAGCGGUGAAAUGCGUAGAUAUAUGGAAGAACACCAGUGGCGAAGGCGGCUGUCUGGUCUGCAACUGACGCUGAGGCUCGAAAGCAUGGGUAGCGAACAGGAUUAGAUACCCUGGUAGUCCAUGCCGUAAACGAUGAUUACUAAGUGUUGGAGGGUUUCCGCCCUUCAGUGCUGCAGCUAACGCAUUAAGUAAUCCGCCUGGGGAGUACGACCGCAAGGUUGAAACUCAAAAGAAUUGACGGGGGCCCGCACAAGCGGUGGAGCAUGUGGUUUAAUUCGAAGCUACGCGAAGAACCUUACCAGGUCUUGACAUCUUCUGACAGUCUAAGAGAUUAGAGGUUCCCUUCGGGGACAGAAUGACAGGUGGUGCAUGGUUGUCGUCAGCUCGUGUCGUGAGAUGUUGGGUUAAGUCCCGCAACGAGCGCAACCCUUAUUACUAGUUGCCAGCAUUAAGUUGGGCACUCUAGUGAGACUGCCGGUGACAAACCGGAGGAAGGUGGGGACGACGUCAAAUCAUCAUGCCCCUUAUGACCUGGGCUACACACGUGCUACAAUGGAUGGUACAACGAGUCGCGAGACCGCGAGGUUAAGCUAAUCUCUUAAAACCAUUCUCAGUUCGGACUGUAGGCUGCAACUCGCCUACACGAAGUCGGAAUCGCUAGUAAUCGCGGAUCAGCAUGCCGCGGUGAAUACGUUCCCGGGCCUUGUACACACCGCCCGUCACACCAUGAGAGUUUGUAACACCCAAAGCCGGUGGGGUAACCUUUAGGAGCUAGCCGUCUAAGUGACAGAGAUGGU